rnacentral:rRNA from 1 species
CUCCUCUUGACUAGAUAUAUGAGGUCCAGUCUGUCCAGUGACCAUGGACAACGGCCGCGGUAUCCUAACCGUGCGAAGGUAGCGUAAUCACUUGUUCUUUAAAUGAGGACUAGUAUGAAUGGCAUCACGAAGGUUAUACUGUCUCCUUUUUCCAAUCAGUGAACCUAAUCUCCCCGUGAAGAAGCGGGGAUAAAAUUAUAAGACGAGAAGACCCUAUGGAGCUUAAAACAAUACAGCACUUGCUAAAAAAUUUAACAAUUUCAGAAUUUUUUAAUCUCUAAGCACUAUGACUGUAAGUUUUUGGUUGGGGUGACCACGGAGCAUAACACAACCUCCAUGUUGAAUGAACUUUUUUCUAAGCCAAAAAUUACACUUUUAAGCAUCAAUAAAUUGACAUCUAUUGACCCAAUAUGUUUGAACAACGAACCAAGUUACCCUAGGGAUAACAGCGCAAUCCAUUUCAAGAGCUCCUAUCGACAAGUGGGUUUACGACCUCGAUGUUGGAUCAGGGUUUCCCAGUGGUGCAGCCGC